rnacentral:rRNA from 1 species
UGCGCAGGCGAUCUUGUAAGACAGAUGUGAAAUCCCCGGGCUUAACCUGGGAACUGCAUUUGUGACUGCAAGGCUGGAGUACGGCAGAGGGGGAUGGAAUUCCGCGUGUAGCAGUGAAAUGCGUAGAUAUGCGGAGGAACACCGAUGGCGAAGGCAAUCCCCUGGGCCUGUACUGACGCUCAUGCACGAAAGCGUGGGGAGCAAACAGGAUUAGAUACCCUGGUAGUCCACGCCCUAAACGAUGUCAACUGGUUGUUGGGUCUUCACUGACUCAGUAACGAAGCUAACGCGUGAAGUUGACCGCCUGGGGAGUACGGCCGCAAGGUUGAA